GAAACCUUUAGUCUUGUUGUCAAAAUUUCUAAACCCUUGUGUGCACCUGUCCAAUGUUACUCUCUUUUCACGACUUCUGUGAAUUAAGUAGAACUGUAAUUGGGUCCUUGUUUUAAAAUUUAAACAAAUAUGAAAAAUGUGUGUCUUGUACUCUUGUACGUUGUACCACAUGGUGUCCCUGGACUAGUUUUAGUCUUAGUUCCUCUCUACGUUAUUGUAGAAAGUCAUAGUUGAAUGUUCAUUGCUGCACAUGUUUUCUUUCGACCCCGUUAUUUUUGUUCUGCCCACAGACCCACUUUCCGCUUUGAGGUGCUUUUUUUUUGUUUACCCAUUCUGUUUCAUUCUAUUUUUGGCUAACCACUUUUACCAUCCUACCCUCUUAUCCCACAAUAUUUACACCAUUCCACUUACUCUCUCUUACUUUAUCAAUCCUUUUCUUACAUACAUGAUACACCCACCUUCUUAAUCCAUCUCUCUUACUCUAUCCAUCUUUUCUUACACGCACUCACCUUUUUCAAAGUUACCUAGAAUCAAGAGUCUACAGUAAGUGGGAAAAAAAACCUGGUGGGAGUAUGUUAUUUCCAAGCUUGUGCCCCUGAGUGCAACAUUGAUGUUGAAGUCCUCCUUUUGAAUUGUAGGCUCGUUGUUGCCUUUGCAUCUACGUGCGGGAGGGGUAAAGAGAGGAGAUUGCUUUGGCUAUCAUGUGAGUCUUGUGGUUAAAAAAGAAUGAUGAGCUUUAUUGGAAAAAAAAAUCUGCUGAUCAUUAGUCUUCUGGGAUGGAGCUGUCUCCUUUAUGUCAGGGGUUGUCUAUCAGACUACCAGUGAUA